rnacentral:rRNA from 1 species
AUUGAACGCUGGCGGCAUGCUUUACACAUGCAAGUCGAACGGUAACAGGCCGCAAGGUGCUGACGAGUGGCGAACGGGUGAGUAAUGCAUCGGAACGUGCCCGGUCGUGGGGGAUAACACUUCGAAAGAAGUGCUAAUACCGCAUACGAUCUAUGGAUGAAAGCGGGGGACCGUAAGGCCUCGCGCGAUCGGAGCGGCCGAUGUCAGAUUAGGUAGUUGGUGGGGUAAAGGCUCACCAAGCCAACGAUCUGUAGCUGGUCUGAGAGGACGACCAGCCACACUGGGACUGAGACACGGCCCAGACUCCUACGGGAGGCAGCAGUGGGGAAUUUUGGACAAUGGGCGCAAGCCUGAUCCAGCAAUGCCGCGUGCAGGAAGAAGGCCUUCGGGUUGUAAACUGCUUUUGUACGGAACGAAAAGGUCCUGGCUAAUACCCGGGGCUGAUGACGGUACCGUAAGAAUAAGCACCGGCUAACUACGUG